rnacentral:rRNA from 1 species
AGAGUUUGAUCCUGGCUCAGAUUGAACGCUGGCGGCAUGCCUAACACAUGCAAGUCGAACGGGGGUAGCAAUACCCUAGUGGCGGACGGGUGAGGAACACGUAGGAAUCUGCCCUUGAGUGGGGGAUAACCCGGGGAAACCCGGACUAAUACCGCAUGAUCUUUUUGGAGCAAAGAGGGGGACCGCAAGGCCUCUCGCUCUUGGAGGAGCCUACGUCUGAUUAGCUAGUUGGUAGGGUAAAGGCCUACCAAGGCGACGAUCAGUAACUGGUCUGAGAGGAUGAUCAGUCACACCGGAACUGAGACACG